UUAUCCUUUUGGAUAAAACGCGGAUAUGACUGAAAAAAGGCUGAAAAAGUUUUUUGGACCAUAUCCGCGUUUUAUCCUUUUGGAUAA